GUUGUUUUUCCGAAAAUCAAUUACGAAUGGCUUGAUUUUGUGUUGUAUUGACCUUAUCAGCUUUCUUCACUUUUUUCGAGUCUUUCUUAAUGCACUUUUCGGUUAACAAGUCAACAUCAAUUUCUUUUGUUGUAAAAGAGUAUUCGGAAGGUGGCUUUCUUUUCGGAGAAAGUGUUUAUAGCCCUAUACUUCUACAAUCGGAGAGAUUGAGGUCUGCAGCGUAGAUCCUUCGGGGUUAGAUACACUUGUGCUAAGUUGUAGCUUUUCAUAGACAACUUGUUGACUAUGUUUAGUCUUGCGGCUUACUCGCUUGUGCUAUUUUACCUAC
rnacentral:rRNA from 1 species